rnacentral:lncRNA from 1 species
UGCGCGUUCCAUCUUCUUCUUUCAUGUCAUGGCCUCUCUGUCCUUCCGACGAUGGUGAUGUUCUCUCUUUCCUUCCGACGAUGUCGCUCUUUAUUGUCGCCGCGAAAAAAAUUCAGCAAGAUUUUACCAACUCUGUUCAAGAGCUUUGCAAUUGGUUAUUUGAAGAACAAAAUUCAUGAAUUAAACUUCAGAGAAAUAACAAUACAGCGACACCAACUCAUAUAAUCACAAAUUCAC